AAAGUACUGUAUCCAAACGCUGUAUUAUACCAGACAGCUUCUGUCAGGAGCACAGCAACUGAGGCCAGGAAGGACAACACUGAGUGCACUGGCAAUUUGUCACUGAACUAGGAUUACAAGAAAAACUCUUUAGUUUGACAGUGGAACAUUCCUUUGGGUUUUUGCUCCAUGAAAAUGAGAUUCCUCAAAGACACUUAAUAUGAGACUCACAGGUACAGAGGCUGUAAUGGACACAACAGAUGUUGCAUUUAAUACACCUCAGUGUCAGCCAGCAUGAUGUGCAGCAAGUGAUUCAAGAGCAGAUGCUGUGGUAAAGACAAAUGAUGACCAUCAGCUGAGGUUGGCUGUAUCUCUGGGGGGUCUUAUUGUCCUGAACUACCGUCACAGUGGCAAGUUGGCAGCCGCUAGUAAAUGCAUGUGUCACUGAUCAUUCCAGGAGCCCUGAGUAAAGACAAUUGUGAUUGAUCCUUACAGGGACUGUCACUGGGACCUUUCACUGCCACUUCCACAUUUUGAAGUAUCUACUGAGGAACUGACAGGAAGGUAAACAAACACAAUGCCAAGGUGAUAAGAAUCUGACUUUCAUUCACUUUAGUGUGCUAGUUGUUGGAGUUGAGUAGUCUUGUGUUUGAGCGCUGACCUCUGAGUUGUUGAUGCCAUGUCAACAUUUAUAUUCUUGUAUUUGUUUUCUAGAUUAACAUUGUAUCAUUUAAAUGCAAUUCUUAAGUUUUUGAGACAAACUUUAUUACUCUGU